rnacentral:rRNA from 1 species
GUGCCAGCCGCCGCGGUAAUACGUAGGGUGCGAGCGUUAAUCGGAAUUACUGGGCGUAAAGCGUGCGCAGGCGGUUUGUUAAGUCAGAUGUGAAAGCCCCGGGCUUAACCUGGGAAUGGCAUUUGAAACUGGCAGGCUGGAGUGCGGCAGAGGGGGGUGGAAUUCCACGUGUAGCAGUGAAAUGCGUAGAGAUGUGGAGGAACACCGAUGGCGAAGGCAGCCCCCUGGGCCGACACUGACGCUCAGGCACGAAAGCGUGGGGAGCAAACAGGAUUAGAAACCCGUGUAGUCC